rnacentral:rRNA from 1 species
CACUCCUACGGGAGGCAGCAGUGGGGAAUAUUGCACAAUGGGCGCAAGCCUGAUGCAGCCAUGCCGCGUGUAUGAAGAAGGCCUUCGGGUUGUAAAGUACUUUCAGCGGGGAGGAAGGCGAUAAGGUUAAUAACCUUGUCGAUUGACGUUACCCGCAGAAGAAGCACCGGCUAACUCCGUGCCAGCAGCCGCGGUAAUACGGAGGGUGCAAGCGUUAAUCGGAAUUACUGGGCGUAAAGCGCACGCAGGCGGUCUGUCAAGUCGGAUGUGAAAUCCCCGGGCUCAACCUGGGAACUGCAUUCGAAACUGGCAGGCUAGAGUCUUGUAGAGGGGUGUAGAAUUCCAGGUGUAGCGGUGAAAUGCGUAGAGAUCUGGAGGAAUACCGGUGGCGAAGGCGGCCCCCUGGACAAAGACUGACGCUCAGGUGCGAAAGCGUGGGGAGCAAACAGGAUUAGAUACCCGAGUAGUCCCAUG